AGAGUUUGAUCAUGGCUCAGGACGAACGCUGGCGGCGUGCCUAAUACAUGCAAGUCGAGCGGAGUUAUUCCUUCGGGGAUAGCUUAGCGGCGGACGGGUGAGUAACACGUAGGCAACCUGCCUGCAAGACCGGGAUAACAUUCGGAAACGGAUGCUAAUACCGGAUACGCAGUUCCCUCGCAUGGGGGAGCUGGGAAAGG
rnacentral:rRNA from 1 species